UUAAACCUCUUCCAGAGUAUCAAUUGGAGGGCAAGUCUGGUGCCAGCAGCCGCGGUAAUUCCAGCUCCAAUAGCGUAUAUUAAAAUUGUUGCAGUUAAAAAGCUCGUAGUUGAAUUUCUGCUGCAUUACAUAUCUCUUGUUUGAGUUUGUUUUUGUGGCUUAUUUCGGUUUGAUUUUUUCUUUCCGGAUGAUUACUUUGAGAAAAUUAGAGUGCUCAAAGCAGGCUUUUGCCUUGAAUAGUUUAUCAUGGAAUAAUAAAGUAGGACUUUGGUUCUAUUUUGUUGGUUUUAGGUACCAAAGUAAUGGUUAAUAGGAACAGUUGGGGGCAUUCGUAU
rnacentral:rRNA from 1 species